UACGGGGGGGGCAAGCGUUGUUCGGAAUUACUGGGCGUAAAGGGCUCGUAGGCGGCCAACUAAGUCAGACGUGAAAUCCCUCGGCUUAACCGGGGAACUGCGUCUGAUACUGGAUGGUUUGAGGUUGGGAGAGGGAUGCGGAAUUCCAGGUGUAGCGGUGAAAUGCGUAGAUAUCUGGAGGAACACCGGUGGCGAAGGCGGCAUCCUGGACCAAUUCUGACGCUGAGGAGCGAAAGCCAGGGGAGCAAACGGG
rnacentral:rRNA from 1 species